UGCGCUGGAUGUCUUUCACUUCGUGUACAAAACUCUGCAGGCUGCGGCAUCGAAGAAGUUGUCCUGUGUUUGGGUGCACGUAUGCGCUUGGACACGGAUAGCCUGCUUGCUCUCAACGGGUGUUCAACAGUCUACGCGCGCUCGUAACUUGCUCAUGAGGCAUGUUGCUGUUCUGCUCACGCUGAGAAGAGGUCAGCUGCCUGCAGUCGGUCCAUCUCUCUCAAGUUAUCGCAGUAUUGUAGCUCUCAAAGUUCAAAAAGUAUGGCGGAAGCUGUUGCCAAGGUUCCCACCGGAAAAGAAAGCCAGUAUAGAAGGGUACACACCACUGAUCUCUACUACAGGGGAUGGACAGCACAUCGAGCGCCCUUGACUGAAGCCAACCUUGUCCCCCUGUGGAGACAAGGUUUUUUAGACAUGGCCAUGGCCCUCAAGGAAGAUGCCGAGGCCACAGGCAGUUCGUCCAGUGACCGUGAAAAGGUCCCCUGUGGCACAAGUCUAAUUUGGCACCUCCAUCUUUCUCCUGCAG